UUGACCUCGGAUCAGGUAGGGAUACCCGCUGAACUUAAGCAUAUCAAUAAGCGGAGGAAAAGAAACCAACAGGGAUUGCCCUAGUAACGGCGAGUGAAGCGGCAACAGCUCAAAUUUGAAAUCUGGCUCUUUCAGAGUCCGAGUUGUAAUUUGCAGAGGGCGCUUUGGCUUUGGCAGCGGUCCAAGUUCCUUGGAACAGGACGUCACAGAGGGUGAGAAUCCCGUACGUGGUCGCUAGCUAUUGCCGUGUAAAGCCCCUUCGACGAGUCGAGUUGUUUGGGAAUGCAGCUCUAAAUGGGAGGUAAAUUUCUUCUAAAGCUAAAUAUUGGCCAGAGACCGAUAGCGCACAAGUAGAGUGAUCGAAAGAUGAAAAGCACUUUGGAAAGAGAGUCAAACAGCACGUGAAAUUGUUGAAAGGGAAGCGCUUGCAGCCAGACUUGCUUGCAGUUGCUCAUCCGGGCUUUUGCCCGGUGCACUCUUCUGUAGGCAGGCCAGCAUCAGUUUGGGCGGUGGGAUAAAGGUCUCUGUCACGUACCUCUCUUCGGGGAGGCCUUAUAGGGGAGACGACAUACCACCAGCCU
rnacentral:rRNA from 2 species